rnacentral:sRNA from 2 species
UCAUAGCCCAGAUUGAAGUGGAAAGCCCGGAGUAAAAAAGGCAAAAAUUUCUUGGUCUAAAAAAGCGACCAGCGGAAGCUCUUUUUGGAACAUUAGAAACUUUGCCUUUUUUAUGAGGACUUGAAACGAAAAGCUGGAAUAGCU